rnacentral:lncRNA from 1 species
GGCCUCCCGAAUGGCUGGGACCACGGCCUGCACCGCUGCGCCCUGCUUGGAGACUUCUUUGGUCUCUCUUGUCUCCAUGUGUUACUGGUGCGUUCUAAUUAGUUAUGAUGGCAGAGUCUGCUGCACUGUGUGAGGAGGUUCGAGAGGGCAGCAGUGAGAGCCUGGCUGAAGGCCUGAGGGGAACAGUCAGAGGCUGUGGGACGGCAAGUGCCGGUCGCUGAGUGAGUCACAGGCUGGUCACGGCACACACGUGCCUCCGGCCACAGGUCUCCCUGGCCAUCUUAACUGGUUGCUGUCACUUUUGUGCCGUCUCCUGAGGCCUGGAGGACCCUCUGCUUGGAGCUGCGUCCUUGCCUCUGCUCCUCUGUCCCCAGGGGCCUCCAGGUAUGUGCAGUGGACACAGGCUUGGGUCGCCCCUCCCCCUCCAGGACAGGCGGGAAGGCUGCUUUGUCCCUGGAGGAGGGAUGCUGCCGGGGCUGUCUCAAGAGACCUGACUGGAAGGGACUUCCGAGGGGUGGAGAGGAGCAGGCGCUGCCCCAGGGAGAUUUCCCGAGCCGUGAAAUGAACCUUCCAUCCACAGCCCCUCCCCCAGGAAGGAGCCUGCAGCAGAGCCUCGGCACAAGGUGCAGCUCAGAGGCUCGACCCUGCUCGCCUCGGCCUGGUCAAGUUGAAAUGGCAGCCGGUGACAGGGUCUAACGUCAUGUGGGGGUCUGGCCAGAGCCACAAGGGCGUGCAAUGAGAGUGGGUGAUGAGCUGUGUAGAAAGCCCCCGGGGCCAGCCCAUGUCUGGAACAGACCUGAAGGUCUGCAGUCAGGAUGUAUGUCCACCCUUCAGGCUGACUGCACCCGAGCCCCAUUGCUGGCCCCUCAGACUUUCUGCACCAAUCCACAGGAAGAAGUGCCAGUGGAAGCCAAGACUGCUGGGCCCCACAAGUGCAGGGUGCCAGGGAGGCCUGCUCUGCUCUCUGAUGUCCCUUCCCACUUCUGAGCUGCAGGGCUGACCUACUGAUGACCCUACAGCCAGCACCCUAGCUGGUGGCAGCCUGGUACUGGCCCAGCAGGGGUUAGUGAGGAGGCGCUGACCACCUGUUUGCAGAAGGCACACACUCUCUCCCAGUUAAUAAAUAAGCCCGCUGCAAA